rnacentral:tRNA from 1 species
GCGUCCGUAGCUUAACCGGUGAACGGUGGCGAGAGUCGAUGCUGAGGGCAACCAGCGUGCAAGUCAUUCGAGCCGGCGCCGCCUCGGCGCGUGCCGGCGACUUGAUCGCCGCAGUUUCCGGGUCGCACUGGGGAUCUCAGAUCAAAAUCGUUGUCAAAAAGCCGCGGCCUUAAAAGCCGUUAGAUGCGGGUUCGAGUCCCGUCGGGCGCA